rnacentral:rRNA from 1 species
AUAAUACUCCAUAGAUUAGAGACACUGGAAUGUUCUUUAGUCGAAAGUUCUGGCGCCUUAGGAUGGAUCUGCGGUCGAUUAGGUUGUUGUUGGGGUAACGGCCCAACAAGCCUGUAAUCGAUACGGGUUGUGGGAGCAAGAGCCCGGAGAUGGAAUCUGAGACACGAUUCCAGGCCCUACGGGGCGCAGCAGGCGCGAAAACUUUACAAUGCAGGAAACUGUGAUAAGGGAACUCCGAGUGCCCGUAUACGCGGGCUGUCCAGGUGUUUAAAAAUCAUCUGAAGAAAGGGCCGGGCAAGACCGGUGCCAGCCGCCGCGGUAAUACCGGCGGCUCGAGUGGUGGCCACUAUUAUUGGGCUUAAAGCGUCCGUAGCUGGACCGAUAAGCCUCUUGGGAAAUCCGCCGGCUCAACCGGCGGGCGUCUAAGGGAUACUGUUAGUCUAGGGACCGGGAGAGGUGAGAGGUACUCCGGGGGUAGGAGUGAAAUCCUGUAAUCCCCGGGGGACCACCGAUGGCGAAGGCAUCUCACCAGAACGGCUCCGACAGUGAGGGACGAAAGCUGGGGGAGCGAACCGGAUUAGAUACCCGGGUAGUCCCAGCCGUAAACUAUGCGCGUUAGGUGU